UACGUGGGGGGCAAGCGUUGUUCGGAAUUACUGGGCGUAAAGGGCGCGUAGGCGGCCAACUAAGUCGGAUGUGAAAUCCCCAGGCUUAACCUGGGAACUGCAUCCGAUACUGGAUGGCUUGAAUCCGGGAGAGGGAUGCAGAAUUCCAGGUGUAGCGGUGAAAUGCGUAGAUAUCUGGAGGAAUACCGGUGGCGAAGGCGGCAUCCUGGACCGGCAUUGACGCUGAGGCGCGAAAGCGAGGGGAGCAAACGGG
rnacentral:rRNA from 1 species